rnacentral:rRNA from 1 species
GAUUAACGCUGGCGGCGUGCAUAACACAUGCAAGUCGAACGAUGAAACUUAAAUGAUUUCUUCGGAAUGAUUUUAAGUGGAUUAGUGGCGGACGGGUGAGUAACGCGUGAGUAACCUGCCUUAGAGAUGGGGAUAGCCUCUGGAAACGGAGAAUAAUACCCAAUGAUACUAAGCUAUCGCAUGGUAGCCUAGUCAAAGAUUUAUCGCUCUAAGAUGGACUUGCGUCUGAUUAGCUAGUUGGUGAGAUAAUGGCUCACCAAGGCAACGAUCAGUAGCCGCUUGAGAGAGUGUACGGCCACAUUGGACUGAGACACGGCCCAGACUCCUACGGGAGCAGCAGUGGGAAUUUGCACAAUGGGGAAACCCUGAUGCAGCGACGCCGCGUGAUUUAGAAGGCCUUCGGGUUGUAAAAA